GACGAACGCUGGCGGCGUGCUUAACACAUGCAAGUCGAACGGAAAGGCCCUGGUUUUGUGGGGUGCCCGAGUGGCGAAAGGGUGAGUAACACGUGAGUAACCUGCCCUUGACUUUGGGAUAACUUCAGGAAACUGGGGCUAAUACCGGAUAGGUGCUCCUGCUGCAUGGUGGGGGUUGGAAAGUUUCGGCGGUUGGGGAUGGACUCGCGGCUUAUCAGCUUGUUGGUGGGGUAGUGGCUUACCAAGGCUUUGACGGAUAGCCGGCCUGAGAGGGUGGCCGGCCACAUUGGGACUGAGAUACGGACCAGACUGCUACGGGAGGCAGCAGUGGGGAAUAUUGCACAAUGGGCGGAAGCCUGAUACAGCAACGCCGCGUGCGGGAUGACCGCCUUCGGGUUGUAAACCGCUUUCGCCUGUGACGAAGCGUGAGUGACGGUAAUGGGUAAAGAAGCACCGGCUAACUACGUG
rnacentral:rRNA from 1 species